rnacentral:rRNA from 1 species
ACGCUAGCGGCAGGCCUAACACAUGCAAGUCGAGGGGUAACAUAAAGUGCUUGCACUUUGAUGACGACCGGCGCACGGGUGAGUAACGCGUAUACAAUCUGCCUCAUACUAGGGGAUAGCCCAGAGAAAUUUGGAUUAAUACCCUAUAGUAUCAUUUAGAGUCAUCUCUUCAUGAUUAAAGGUUACGGUAUGAGAUGAGUAUGCGUUCUAUUAGUUAGUAGGUGAGGUAACGGCUCACCUAGACCACGAUAGAUAGGGGCCCUGAGAGGGGGAUCCCCCACACUGGUACUGAGACACGGACCAGACUCCUACGGGAGGCAGCAGUGAGGAAUAUUAGACAAUGGGCGAAAGCCUGAUCUAGCCAUGCCGCGUGCAGGAUGACGGCCCUAUGGGUUGUAAACUGCUUUUAUACAGGAAGAAAAAACUCUACGUGUAGAGUCUUGACGGUACUGUAAGAAUAAGGAUCGGCUAACUCCGUGCCAGCAGCCGCGGUAAUACGGAGGAUCCAAGCGUUAUCCGGAAUUAUUGGGUUUAAAGGGUCCGUAGGUGGACAAUUAAGUCAGAGGUGAAAUCCUGCAGCUCAACUGUAGAAUUGCCUUUGAAACUGGUUGUCUUGAGUCAUUAUGAAGUGGUUAGAAUGUGUAGUGUAGCGGUGAAAUGCAUAGAUAUUACACAGAAUACCAAUUGCGAAGGCAGAUCACUAAUAAUGUACUGACACUGAUGGACGAAAGCGUGGGUAGCGAACAGGAUUAGAUACCCUGGUAGUCCACGCCGUAAACGAUGGUCACUAGCUGUUCGGACUUCGGUCUGAGUGGCUAAGCGAAAGUGAUAAGUGACCCACCUGGGGAGUACGU